UGAUAUUAUUCUAACUUAAAAAAUUGAUAUUAUUAAUAUUAGGUCUUCAGACAAAGCUAAGAUUUGUUUCGUAACGGUAAUUAACGGUACAAGCAAGUUUUCUCUAACUCGGCCUCUAGUUGUUCAUUCAAAUAUGCUUAUGGAUAAUCAUUGUUGAUUACUAUGUCUAUAAUUUAUUGAAUCAUACUCUGUGCAUAUUUCAAAUGCUCAUCAGGUAUGAAAGGCUGAUCACCUUCAUUACCAUCUAGUUCAGAUAUAUUUGUUUAUGUUCAAUGUUCGUUCAGCUAUGAAAGUUUGUUCAUGCUAGUUCACAAUUAUAUUGUUGAAUGUUAGCUAGUUAUUAUUUAAAUUCUUUCAAUCAUGAUAUAUCCUCAACUAAAGUUAUACUUGCUGGGCAAACUUGUUGCUCACCCUUGCUAUAUCAUAAUAAACAUUGCAGAUUAGGAUGAAUACGUCGGAUACAAGGAAAAGUCAAAGACAAGUAUAUAUUGGGAUUAUAUGUGCAGCUAAAUUUGUAAUAGUAAUGUAUGAUAAUAACAUUGUAUGUUAGAUAGGAUAUUGAUUCAGGUAUUAUGUGAAGGUUCUCGACCUUGGGGAUAGUGUGUAAAGUUUAAUGUAUAACUAAUUUAUGUGUAUAUCUUCCUCAAUAGUUAUAGAAAUAGUAUACCAGAUCCAUGGUGAUUUGGGACCCGGAUCUGGGGCUACUACAACCUAACCUUGAUAAUUUAAUAUCAAGUGUUAUAAAUAUUAUUUUACAAAAUAACAUUUCUCCAAGGCAAGGAGUAUUCCUAUUCUCUUUUAAAAUUCUUACAUUCAAGCUUUCAACAUUAUUUUGUAAAAAGGGUCAAAAAGAAUUUUUACCAAAAUCUACUCUCACACAUCCGUGCCUUAACUAUUUAUGUGUGUGUAUGGAUCCAUGCAUAUGUGUGUUAAUGAAUACAUAAAAAAUAAUAAUGGUUUCAAUAUGUAUGUGUGUUCGUGUACGAGAAGGAAUGCUUGCAUUUGAUAUGAGACACUCAAAAUAGGACAAAUAUAUUGGAACAAUAUUUACUAAUGGGCUGAGAGAUAUACAAAAGGCAUUUACUCCACACGCCCAUGUAUUAUGAAGUAUAAAUUUUUGAACAAAAGGCAUGUAAUUAAUGUGCUCAUUAAAUGCUAAGUAAUCAAAAAUUUCCAAAGGCCAAAACAGUCAAAAAUUCAGAAGACAUGCUGAGAGAGCAAUCCGUGUGAUCUGAUAUUUCUAAAUUGAUCUGAACCUUACAUUUUAACCAAAUAGUUUUUAGCCUUUGAUUUCUCAAAAUGACCAUUUUUCCCCAAGCUUGAAAAUCCUAUAAAUAGGAAGCUUUUCCUUCAUUUCAACUUUACCGAUUCACUAUCAAGAAAAAGCUUACUCCUUGCCUACAUUCUCUCUAAAGCUUUAAUGUGACACCCCCAAAUUCAGGUACUUCAUUCCCACAUAAUUUGGUGCUCACUAUUCAAAACAAUUACAUCUAACUACCCAUAAUAAAGGAUAAAGAAAUCACUUAAAUAAAUUAAAUAAUAAUCUUUCCCAUUAAAGGGUUACAUCAACUUAAAUCAAUCCCAUGUAAUCUAACCUUAAAUUAUUACACAAGUAUGCGGAAUACAUCAUAAAAUAUAAUAAGUAUUAAAACAUAAUUUCAUUUAAAUAAAUUCAAAUAAAUCUUCAUCACUUGGACACCUUGCCCUUUCCUUUGCUAGUAGAUGGCUCAUCGACUCUCUCAACUUUAGUUGCAGUGUUAAUUGCAAGAGUGAACAAACAAUUGCUCACUAUUAUAAAGAAUAAUAAUAACAUCAAUAUAAGGGUAAGCAAUGAUUACUGAAUAAUGGAGAACUUGUUCUACGAAUCAAGAAUAGAAAACAAGUUCAGGAUAAUAUCUGAGGGUCUUAAGACCACGAACUAUGUCCCCGGUAAGUAGGUAUUAUUACCUCAAACUUAACAGUCAUUUAAACUAUACAGACCCUUCCUUACGUACUUAGGGGGAUCGACCCUUUGUACCAUGUAUUGUGCACAAACAUCUAAACGCUAACCCGUACAUAAUCCCCUAUAUCAGGGUUUUUCAUCUCAGUUUAACUUUAGAAUUUCCGCACUGAAAAAAGUUUAGUUUGGAACUAGCUUAUCAAUGGUUCUAGAAUUUUAGAACACUAUUCAAUUAUAGAUUUGUCCAAUCAAUAAGAUUUUGCUUUCUAUUUGAAGGUUCAACACAAUAAUAUAGGAUUGAAUAAUGAUAUUAAAGUCAAGGAUUGAAUAAUGACAAUGUACAAUUGAAUGGACAUGGUACAUAUGCAAAUUACUACAUCCAAAAGAAUUAAGAAAUCUCAUUAGGAACAACAAAGUUAAACAGUACAUGCUCUGAACAGUAAGAAUGAGAGUUAGGAUUGUAAAACUCGCUCUAUGUAAAGAAUUAGAAUACAAGAGCUUGUAUAAACAUAAACAAGAUGGAAUCAAUAUGCUUGCUCAACUAUAGUAUAUGAUUUAGGAACUUGCAUAAUGAUAAACUAGAAAGCUUGCUUGACAACAAAAGGAUAAACAUAGUUAUGAAAUUGCAUUCAUUAUAAAGAGAAUGAAAUUAAGGAACUUGCAUAAUGAUAAACUAGAAAGCUUGCUUGAAAAAAAAAGGAUAAACAUAGUUAUGAAAUUGAAUUCAUUAUAAAGAGAAUGAAGUUAGGGAAUUUUCCUCGUGCGUAAGCUACACAAGUAUAAUAAAUGUUCGCCAAAUAUCCUACAUAUAUCAUUAGGAUCACAAUACCAAUUAGUUAUAUUAAUAUUAACUUCAUUUGUUUACUUUUCAUUUUAAUCAAGUCUAUAAUCUUUAACUUAAGACUUGAUUAUCCUACCCAUUCACGUAACACGAAACUGCAUUCUCAAUUAUAUCAUAGUAUACAACAUGGUGAUUGUAGAACAACACCAAUUCUAAUGACAUCACAUUACGAACAUUCACAACUUACUAAUUCAUAAUAUAUAGUUUCGACUUUGUGAUUACAAUACGUUAUUUCGUCUUAUAACAUGUUUUAGGUCCUCUACAAUCAUUAAAGUAGGUUAAGUUAACAUUUCCCCACUAUACAGUUAACAAUUCCUUACUGGGUCUGUCUGACCACUGGCGCAGCCGCGCCAUGGCUACCUUUAAAUCAGGCGCGCCCACGCUCGACCUCAGACUCAGUUUUACAGCAACAUGAAUUGAAGCUCUGCUCUAACCAAACGUUCCAAUUUCUCCCAAUUCCACAGCAAUUCAUUAAAGCCAAUAGCUACAAACUUACUACAACAUUGCUAAGCAUAUACAUAACACUCCUAACAACAAAACAACCAAAAUUUUAAGGAUUAAAACCAUAUUUUUGUUAUUUUCUCCAUUUUCAACACAUUUAGCGAAUUCAAUCGCCAAAUCCUUGUUUCUUAACCAAAUUAUACCAUUUCAAUUACAUUAUUUUCAUUUCUUGAUAUAAUAACACAAUAUACAAUCAAUUUAAAGAUUUUAUCAAGGAUUGAACAUCAAAUUUUGGACUCAAACAAGCCAUUUUCAUAUAUACAUAACACUGUUACUUUAAUAUUCUUCUACAACUCAAUUUCAUGAAUUUGAUAGUCCAAACCCAUUUGAAAGCAACUUAUAUCAGAUUAUAAACCAUUUAUAACACAAAUACCACUUACUCUAACAAGUCAUUAGCCCAAUUUCCCCUUUUCCCUAAAACUAAAGAACAUAAAACAUGAUUUUUCAUGAAUUUGACCACUAAAAAUUACUUGUAUAUAUAUAUAUAUGAUGAUGAUUAUCAGAUUAUAUACUCAUAACAUCAACAAUAAUCCAAUAAAACUCAAUUGCAGAGAAUAAAUAUUGAAAAUCAAAACUAGAAAUUAGGAAUAAAUUACCUUGAAUUCCUUAUUUUCAUUAGCAACAAUGAUAGCAAGUUUUCCCUAUGAUUUCCAAUUCACAGAGAACCCUAAAUUUCUCUCUAGCUCUCCCUCAAUUUCACAGUGUUUCUCUCUUCCUCUCCAAACUCUCUGUAAUUAGUCUUUAGGAAAAACACGUAAUAUAGCCAUUACACUGUGCACUCAAAUAAACUGAUAAACGUGGUUAUAAGUUUUAUCAAGCCAACUGUCUUUGACUGUUAUAUUAACCAAAAGUCACAAGGCAUUGUUUUGUUUGCACAAAACUCCCCCUUCUAAUUUAUUUGUAUAAUACUUAUAUUAUAUAGUUCCAUGUGUCACACUUUUAUUUAAUUAAUUUAUGUUCCCACAAUUAUAAUUAUAAUUUCCAUUAUAAUUAUUUUUAUACUUAACAAAUUAUUACACACUUAAUUUAAUUAUUAAAUUAAACUAAAACAUUAAUUUAUUUAUUUAACUAUUUUCUUAAAUAUUAAAUAAUUUAUUUAAUUUAAUUAUUUCAUUUAAUUAAAUCUUCAAAUAACAAAAUUACCAUUCAUUAAUUUAGUUAACAUACACACUUAACUAAAUUAUUGCACCAUAAUUUCAUCAAUUAUUUAUUUAUCUCCACAAAUAAAUUAAUUAAAAUAUUUAUUUAAUUCAAUAAAUAUUAAAAUUUAAUUACAAAAUUUUUUGAUCGUUACAUCCUUCCCUCCUUAAAAGGAUUAUGUCCCCAAAAUCACGACUCGAUAAAUUUAUUCGUUACAUUCUUUCCUCCUUAACAUGAUUCUAUCCCCAGAAUCGCUAUACAAGAUUAAGCAAAUAAUUGAGGAUAAUUUUUCAUCAUAACAUCUUUAAGUUCCCACGUAACUUCUUUAGUAUUGUGGUUUCUCCAGAUUACCUUAACAGAAUGUAUCACUUUAUUCCUUAGUACUUGUUCUUUCCUGUCAAUAAUCUGAACAGGGACUUCUUCAUAUGACAAGUUUUUUUCAAACUGUAAUGGCUCAUAUUCUAUAACAUGCUUAUAAUAGAGCUUAUAUGACCUUAAUACUGACACAUGGAAAAUAUUAUGAAUGUGUCCUAAUUCCGGAGGUAAAUAUGACGCCCCCAAAAUAGGUAUACAUCACCCAUCUUGAGUCGCCAAAUACAUGGUACAAAAUUUAAAUACAACUUAAUUAUACAACUGUCGUGUAAAAUACGACAAAACAUAAUCUGAGAGUUUUAAAACGAAUAUUGUCAUCUAGACAAUAUCCACACUCAAUGGAGUCCUCAUUAUAUUUAUUAUCACACUAUUUAACAGAAUAAUGAGGACUACUAAAGCUAUCAUCUGGACCGUCACUCCAUUCCCCGACUAGUCCAAACUAUAUUCCCAUUUCCUGAAGAGAACAAUGAAAGCAAAGGGUGAGCUCAACUAGCCCAGUAAGAAAUAUUAUGACUAAGAUAAUGCAGAAUAAUUUAUCGUUAGCCUUCAAUAGUGUUAAACUGAUAGAAUAUAAUAGACAACAAGUUUAACUGUAGCGGAACAAGCAAUCCAUUAGAAGAGUCAAGUAGAGCAUAAAAUCUACUAUCUUCUAUGAUUUAAAAGGUUUAUCAUAAAUUUUAUCGCUGAAACUCAACUUAAUAAAUAAUCCACAUCAUCGAAUCACCCCUGUACUAUGGCCAAGGAUAUUCUUUAGUAUCACGACCAUAAAUUAUCAAUGCACUAUGGGCAAAGGAUAUUCGUGUAUUCAUCAAUAGUCAUGAUCAUGCCAACAACUGUCCAUCAAUGCACUAUGGGCCAAUUAUGACUUUUACCACAUCAUUUGUAACAUUACGGUCAUGAUUAUACUGAAUAAUCCCUGGUCAUAAUCAUACCAAGUCCAUCUAUGCACUACUGGCCACCGAUGACUUUCAACAUAAUACAAGUUUGAGGAUGAUGACAAUGAUAUAAGAAUUCAAUUAAAUAAAAACAAAGGAUAAAUUUUUAAAGAUUUAUAAUUUAAUUUAUCCAGAAAUCAAUAACGUCCUAAUUGUCAACAUGAUACUGCUUUUUGGAGUAAAAUUCAAGAAUAAUAUUGUACCAAAAAUAAUUAGGACCGAAAACGAAUCAAUUUUUAUCACGAAUAGUACCCCGGGUGAAUAGUACUCGAGUGAAUAGUACCCUAUGAAUAGUACUUCUUGAAUAGUAACCCUGUGAAUAGUACUCUGGCAUGAAAAAGUUAAAACGUAUCAAGAAUGCUCAGAAUAAUAUUUCCAUGAAAAGAUACUAGAUGAAGCUCAAAUAUCAAGGAUAUUCUACUAAUUUCAUGGAGUCUAGAAGCCAAAACUUUAACAAAAUGAGUAUAGAAUUCGAAAUCUGAAACAAAAUAAUAUUACUUAUAUACUACAGAGUAUGGAAGAAAAUAUUAUUUCAAGCGAAUAUUAAACAAAAAUAACAUCCCUUACCUUGAAAAUAAGAGUAUUCCAACUGGUAUAGCGGUGAUAUUCUUGAAGAAAACUUUCACUAUUUUCUACGCUCAAAGCUUUCUAAAACUCGAAAGAAAUACGCUCAAGAUUAUAGAUGAAGAAUUCUCUGAUUCUGGUGUGAUUUUCAAUUCUAACUAAGCAUCCUAUUUAUAGGAGAAUGGAAAGGAUACUAUGCAAUAAAAU
rnacentral:lncRNA from 1 species